ensembl:lncRNA
CUUCUGCACAAGCAGAUCUGGACCUCUUUUUGGGCAGAAGCUUUUCUCCUGCUCUUGUCUUGCACAGCUCGGGAAAGAGGAAAGGUUCCCAUUGCUAAGCCAGGUCCAGGCCAGUUUUGACUCUUUAGGGGGAAUGAAUUUUCUCACUGUGCAACAUCCAGAGGAAAACAUGCUGAGAAAAUGACCAGAAGUGGGAGUGCAGCAAGAUACCAGCAUCAAAUUUUGCAAGGUCUCAUGGAUGAAUAAUAAACCACUGCAUCACUUCCACAUGCUGUGUUCUGUGGUCUUCAGGAGGAAAUGACCCUUAUCCUUUCCCAAACCAACAGUUAACACACCUUUGUUGAUACGUGUCAUACUUCUGAGGCUCAGAGCUCCUAACAGUCCCUGGGGACUGGCUUCUGCACCAGAGACAAAAAGCUGAGCAGAACGCGCAGAGGAAGCCGUACAAAAGUAACCUAUUGCCGUGCUGUUUGGCUGCUCUUGGCUGUCGAUGACAAGUGGACUGGUGGUGUUAGGCAGCUCCCAGGGGGAGGAUCAGAAGUACUCUAUCUAUGACACCUUGUUUAAGGAAUCCCUGCACUGGGGGCAGGCAGGAGGAACUCUACUGUGGCCAUGCAGCGCUUCUUGCUUGUGCUUUACCAGGAACCAGUGCCCAUGCUGGUACGUUGUAGCCUGGCUUGUUCUGCUCUGAGCUUCCCAGGAGGUGGGCAGUGAAUCUUUCCAAGUACUGCCCCUGCUUUCUAAGAUCGAGCAGGGAAAAGGGGGUUGGAGGGGGAGGGAGGCAGGGAAGAAGGGAAGCAACAGCAGAGUAAAAUAGAACAAACUUCUUUUGGAGGAGAAAAGAAGGCUAUGGGGACCUGAGAACUGGGAGAAAUCUGAUUUUGAGGUUUUGUCACCAUGGUGGCACAAUUUCCUGCCAUGCAGCUGUGUAAUGAGUUCACAUCUGUUAAUGCCACAUGUUGCUCUGCCUUGCACAGAUGCAAAGUCUCUAUUUUUCUAAUUAGCAACAACAUGAAGUAUAUCUUAAUUUUCUGUCCCCCUUUCCUCUAAUAAAUGUGGUAUUAACAAGGUUACAUGCCUGCUUUCACGGGGUUUAAUUGAAUGAGAAGCAAGAUUGGGUUAGAUCACACCGUUCUUUUUAGGUGGGGUUUGCCCAGAUGCAGAGAUGUUGAUUCUUUACAGCUAGUGGAAGGCACAGGAUGGGAGGUGGGGGAUACACAUCCUUUCACAGCUGUGGGCGUGAUUAACCGGGCUUCUCUGGACCAGGCUGCAUGUGUGUAAGUGUUGCACAUACGUAUUUUUUACAGUUUAUCCGUUCAUUUGAUCCUGGCUGGAAGCUCAGCUGAGUUUCUGGUUGGAGGGGAUGAGGACACAGCUCAGGUCUGAGCAGACCAGGAGCCAUGGGUCCUCAGGGGCAACCCUACCUGAGACCAAGUGACCUUCCCCACUGCUGGCUGUGACAUGCGCUGCAGGGGACAGCUUUGUCCUGGGGUCCCCAGUGUGACGGUGGGGAGGGCGUGGGGCUCCUUGCACAGCAGCAUUCGUAUUCACCGGGCUGCUGGGGGAAAUCCACCGGGACCCAGGCAGCAAUUACUUGUGUGAUUUAAUUGGCAUUAUCAUUUUACUGGCUUGACAGAGAUAAAUCGCCCUAUUGGAUGAGGCUGCUACUGUGUGACAGCAAAUGCAGAAGGAAGGACUUUCUCCUUCUCUCUGAAAUAGGAGAUGACUACCAGUGUAUCUUAAUAAUUAGUGCUGUUAUAAUUAAUCGGACUAUUUGAGAGCCAAUCUAACAAACAAAUGGAGGGCUUGAUUGUUUGGUAAUUGACAAUUUGUUUCCAAUAUGGUAUCACUCACAUCUGCUUGUGUAACAAAUAAAAAUAAAAUAAAGAUUAGCUGAGGGCUGGGCCUUGGCUGCAGAGAGGACGGGUGACUGUGUGAGAGAGCAGGGAGAAGGAGCGUUCCCAGGCAUGAAAUGUCCCAGGGACCCAUUUGUCUUGCACACUCACACACAAUGUGAUUCCUGCUGGUUCCUGGCCUUUGGAGCAGUUGCAGCCAGCUGUGGCCGCCUGUGCGGGUGGUUUGAUGGAAGGGCAUUGCUCCCAGACCUUGUCUUUUCUAUGCCAUUUGCACCCUGGCUGUACUGCAUCCUGCACCGUGCACAGGCACAAUAUGCAAAAUAAAGCAUAGCAAAUGCAAGCAGAGGGUUAUUGUUAAUUAUUUAAAUGAAGCAAGCAAGACACUGAUAUUUUGCUGAUAAAAAUUACGCAUCAUGCUGUAAGAUACUGAAAAGCAGUCGAGUCUGAUUUCUUUAGAAGGUUCCCCCUCGCUUUCUCCAUUGGAGCAUUUUUCCUUCUUUGAAAUAAAAGCAAAUCCCUCCAUGUCCUGAGUGCAUCAGUGCUCCCACAGGAUGGGCUUUGCUCCCUUGGGUUUCAGGAAAAACUUCUCUGAAUGCGUGGUGAUGCAGUGGCACAGCUGCCCAGGGAGGUGGUGGGGUCACCAUCCCUGGAGGUAUUCAAGAACCGUGGGGAUGUGGCACUGAGGGAUGUGGUCAGUGGCAUGGGGAUGGGGUGGGGUAGGACUUGGGGAUCUUAGAGGUCUUUUCCAACCUUGUGCUGAGCUGGAAGGGGCUCUGGAUGGUGCUGCAAGGCAAUAAUAAUGGACAUCCACUGGGAAAAUCAUCUGGGUGCCUGGCUUUUGCUCCCACCAUCAUUCCACCCCGUUGCAGCAGAAUUGAUGCUGUAUCUGAAGAGGCUGUGAACAUCUCUGCCAAGUGGCAACACUUCUCCCCCCGCCCAGUUUAAAUGAGAUAUGAAUAAUUGAUUGGCCUCUUGAAUAAUUAAUUGGAUAUUCAAUAAUGAAAGUAAUUGUUUGGCUCAUUCCCCCAUUGAUAAUCAAGCUAAUCUUCUCUUUCAGUAUGUGGGCCAUACGGGUACGUAAAGCAGCGAGACAGUUUAUAGGCUGAUAAUACAACUAAUGUGCUCGGUGCGAGGUCACCUUGUCCAAAUACACCCGCAGCUCCAGGGCUGCUCUCCACUGGGUUAUCCGCAGCACAACCAGCCCAUGUGCAGGUUUUGUUGUUUUUUGUCUUCUCUUUGAUUGCUGAACAUCUCCCACCAGGGAGGAGUCUUCUACAGUUUAAACAAAAAUUGUCAGACGCCGCUUGCUCCAAUUAAUGCUUGCAGGGGGGUGUUCUUGCCAUAGUCAAUAGGAUGCACAUUAAAGGAAGCAAGCGGCUCUGAAUUCAUGAGGCUGCCCUCUUCUAGAAGCAUUAGAUCUCAACUCUGCAGAGAGGCUCCAGAGCCAGAGCUUUCCUUUGUCAUUAGCCCUUUAAAAAUCAAAAUCAAACCUAAACACGUUAAUGCUGGCUUUGCAGCUGCUACUUUGUUUGUUAGGUGUGGUUUAUUUUAUUUUAUUUUAUUUUCUCUAUUUUUUUGAGCUUCUAAUGUUGAAAGUCUCACAGAACCCCAGAGGCUGAGCUGACAUCUCCAUGGCACAAACAAACAUGCUAUGCAGAGGGGAGCUUGGCAGUGGCAGUGGGGCAUAUGUGGGUGGCACAGCCUCAGGUUGUCCCACAGGCACUUCUGGAAUCUUCAUCUGAGUUCAUAUAAUAAUAAAAUCAUAGAAGCAUAGAGUCAUUAAUAUUGGAAAAGACCUCGAAAAUAAUCAAGUCCAACCCCAACCCACCCACCAUGCGCCCUAACCAUGUCCCUUGGUGCCACAUCUCCUAAUUCCUUGAACACCUCCAGGGAUGGUGACUCCUUGGGCAGCCUGUUCCAAUGACUGACCGCUCUCAGGUGGUAACUCUUGAGUUCUUGCACUGGUUCUAGCAGCUGGGGCAGCGUUAUAGUACCUGACGUGGGUUUCAAUCACAACAUAACACCACAGAACAGAGAACCAUGUUACUGGAGGCUGAACAAGUGCUGGAGUAUUUUAAUAACUGCACUUGCAAACUGUAAAACCAGACAACCAUGUCUGCAUCUUCUGUUUCCCACAAAACCAGUAAUUCCUGCCCAUUCCUAGUGAGCGUGGGCAGGGGUUAGGGUCCCAGCAGAUGAUGGAAACCAUAAAAUGUGGAAAACCCUUGCAGAUGCUUCACACCUCAUCCCAGAGCCCAGAGAUGCUGGUGGUAAUGGGCUCAUCCUUGGCCUUAUCACAGGACCUUGCCUGACAGACAAGAAUUCAGGGAGCUCUGCUGUGAUGAUCUUUAACGUCCUUCCAACCCAAGCUAUUCUAUGAUUCUGUGAUCCUGGGACUCUAUGACCCUAUGAUCUUGGGCUUGCUUUUAAUGAGGUUAAGAACUAAAAGAUACCUCUCUCUUCUCUACUGCAUGUUUAAAGAUUGGUUGUACUAAAUACAGAACCUACCAACAUUGCAGUAGGAAGCUAAGCUGAAAAAACGUCUUGAGAUGCUGAGGGCAACUAAGUAAGUCUGGGACAGACCAAAGAAAGGCAGCUGCACUACUCAUGCUCCAAAGAUAUCUCCUAGGUGACCAACCUCACCCCUUCCUUGAGAAACAGCCUCAAAUGCUGUCCCAAGUUUAUGCUGGCUCUCUCUUUAGCUGCUCUGAAUGGAAGUUUCCUCCAAGAACCAUCUGAAAGAUCUUUGCUGGGUUAUUUUUAGGACAUAUCUAGGAACUUCCAAGCAUCUGGCAUUGUUUGAGUCCAUUCUAGGGAUACUGUUUAGUGGGCAUUGUGGUGAUGAGUUGACAGUUGGGCUUGAUGAUCUCAGCAGUCUUUUCCAACCUUUAUGAUUCUAUGCUUCUGUGAUUCUCUUGUGGCAAAGUCCAAUUGAUUUAGGUGAUCCCAGCAUGGACCCUUUCAUUCUGGGGGCCAGGAGACUUAGCCUAUAUCAGAUGUCUGCCUGGAGGACAGGUGAUGAAGAUGCAGUUUGGAAAGAUGAAAGCAGUGAGCAGCGUAUUGCCAUCAGCCUCACACCUACAGGGCAGCGAGCAGCCCUUAAGUCUGAGCAUGUGUGUGCUGCCCUCAGCCUCUGGGUCCCUUCUCCUGGCAGCAGCACUGGGCAGAAACAAUUAGGGAGAUUGAAGCACCAUCAGAAGUGUGCCUGUGGGAACCUUUUAAAAACAAACAAACAAAAAAGAAGCAGCAGAGUAUUCCUGAAGAAGGGUCUGGUCCAGAUGAUGGAGCAAUCUGGGAAACCCUCCACCAUGCAAGCUAUGCGAAUUUAGGUGCUUUUCCUUUCAACCAGCUUAAUUUCUUUAUGAGGGUUUUCAUUUGAAAAAGCAGCAGCACAGACAGGAGUCAGGGGGAUUCAUCUUCAGCCAAUUUAUUCUGUCACAGAUUUAGCAUUUUAUUGGUAAUUUAAGCAGAAACACUUGAUCACAUGUUCAUUUGUAGUGCUUGGAGCUGCUCAGUUGUUUGUCACUUGUGGAAAGCAUGAAGACCCACUGUCCAUUACCCAUAGAGGUAUGACCCAUUGUCAGGGAAGGGGAAAUGCCAGGGGCUCUCCUAAGGAACCUCUGCAAAGAUGACUGUCUGUGGAGAAGGGAAGACGACAGGAGCAAAAGCCAACAAAACCCAACUCCAUGAGCUGACUCAGCUUGCAGAUGGCAGCGUCACCCUUUCCUUCCCUCCCCUCCCCUCCCUCCUCCAGGCUAUUAUGGGGUUUGUGAUGGGUUCCUGGGAUCAAAGCUCCCUGCGAUUCAAUUGAUGUGUGGCUGUGUUGGGCUGCCAGAGGGGAGGCAGCGGGCAGGGACAAGCCACAGCCCUGCAGGAAGAAAUACUGCAGAAAGCCACCCGCCUCCGUGCGCCGAUCGCCGCGUUAUUUAUGCACACACAUAAACAGCUUCAUGCAUCCCACUGAAAUCUCUGUUAUUUGUCAAUGAGACCCCCCCACUCCUCGCUGUGCCUUAGCUAACAUUUACAGUAAAUCUGUUACACUGACCAUUAAAUCUGAAGCUGCCCUGAGCGAUAGUUUCAAUGGGUGUGUUGACAGCCCGAGUGUUAAUAAUGAUGCAAACACUAACCUGUUUAUUGAUUUGCUUUUUGUACCCUUCAUCCUAGCUCACUCCUUCUCACUCUCGGAGGAGAAAUCCUAGAAUUAGUAAUCAGGUGACAGCUCAGAGCCCCGGUCUGUUCCCAGCAGUGUCAUCCAACCCAAACUCCCGGAGAUAAAUUACAGGUGCCGUAUUCUGCCUCUGCCAGCCAUUCAAUAUACUGUUACUCAAUGCAAGAUGUAGUAUUUGUCAUUGGUGCCAGCAGACAGGAGGGAAAAAAAAAAAAAGGAAACAUUAACACAGGCAUGAAAAGCUUUUAACUUUGACAAGAGAAGCAGAGGAAAGUUUUACAUUUAGCCCCUCCACUGAAGGCCACUGCCUAUCCAUUAAAGCAGCUUGUCAGCUGGGGUGGAGCUGAGCCAGGACUGCGAUACUUAGAAGGAACCUGAUGUGAUCUGGUGAUUCCUCCUCUUCCUGCCCAUAGCAGUGCUGAGGGAUGUGGAGCAGGGGAGGAGCUGCUUGGGCUCCUGUGGACAAAUUGGUCUAUUCAUGAGCCCAGAUUUUCUGAGAUGGAGAUGGGUGCAUGAAGGAGAAAAGAAACAGCAGAUCGAUUCACACCGCAGGGGCUCGGAGCAGCCCUGGAGGUGGGUUAAGAUGAACUGGGACAAAGCCCCACCUGAGCAAACCUUUAGGGUUUCCCCUAUUGUAAAGAGCAAAGAUUGAUAUAAAUAGAGCCUGAACAGGAGCUCACUUCUUCAGGGAUCUGCUCUACACAAAGCCAGGAGCUAUGGACACUUGUCCUCAGUUGGGUUCCCAGUGACAUUUAGGGCUGUACACCACAGUUGCACUGAUGAGCUACACAGCCUUGUGCAAGAAGCUGGAGUUAAAUGAAAGCUGGGUUUCGUGUUCCCCAUCUAACAGAGCUUUUUGACCUAUGGCUUUUAUGACCAGGAUGGAAACCUGCCAGUAAAUAAGCAGAAUUUAUAAACCCUGCAAGGGCUCUGAUAUACUCCCCAGGAGCUGGGGACCUACUGGCUUUCAGUGGCACUUAUAAAGUUCUCUCAGCUGUCAGGCCCCUUAGUUCUUUUUAUUUCUGCUAAGUUUAUAAGCUCUGAAAAACCCGUCUGCAGCAUUUAUGAAGUGCACUGCAAAGGCGAAGCAAAGCAGCUGAUCCAAAAGAAACACAGCUCUACCUGCACUGCUUAACCGUGCUGCAAAUCAAAGCCCUUCAGCCUGUUUAUUUUACCCUGUCUUCUGAUGCACGCACAUCACCGAACAGACAGACAUUUGUUAUUUUAGAAAGUAAAACUACACCCAUGCAAAAAUCCUUGCUCGUCAGAAGGAAACUGAGCCAAACAUUCAAUGAAACACUAAAAGCGAGAGUUCGUCAAGUCCUUCUCUGAAGGAGUGGUGAUGCACUGGCAUCAGUUUUCGAUACAAACACUAUUUUCUAAAAUAGGGUCUUUCAGCUCUAUGAAACACAAAGUAUUGGAUCCCACAGGCUAGGGAAUUAGCAGUGGCAGCCAGUAUUAGGCUAAAUAAGCGCUCAGCAGUUUAGUUGUCAUACGGAAGUGGCCUCAGGGCAGCAAGGUGAACCACUGGAUAUGACAUAUAUAAAAUAACUGCUCAAAAUUUUACUUCCCAAAGUAUUUUAGACUUCCUGGUAUGUCUGCAGUGAUGCUGAGGAAAACAGAGCUGUCUCCUCAGUGGACUGGACGUGCAGAUUCGCUUCAGUUACGAUGUAAAGCAGUGAUGCAUUCUCUUCCUUUUCACCUCUGUUUCAAUAAACAUAAAGAGUGAAUUCUCAUUACAAGAUUAACAACAAUUUUAGCAUCAAGGAAUCCCUACAGCACCUAGGACUUCAAGGCUAUUCAUUUUUUCACAUUUUUUAACAUUCUUCUUCCCUCCUCCUUUUUUUUUUACUUUUCCUCCUAAUAGUACCAUCUGCUAAAUGCUGUGUCCUUUCUCACAAAAUUCUCCAAAACCACAGAGCUGCUCAUAUUCGUGAGGGCUUGGUGGUUGUGAAGGAUGAUUUGACAUUUUGGGUUUAAUGAAGCAUGCCGAUGUGCUUGUAUCCCAGUUUUGGAACAAGAAUGACAGCUAAAGCUCAAGACUUGCGUGACCCAGCUUGGUACCGAGAAGUAUGUGAAUUUAGCAGAACAGAAGCAAAGGAAGAAGAAACCGUCCAAGAGUUGGUGACCAUGUGUGCUGGGAAGGAUGAUGAAAUAACAAAGGUAUUUGUAGACAGAAAUACUAGAAGUGGGAAAAGCACAGAAAUAAAAGUAAAGCCCAAGAGGAACAGAAAACACGUGAAAUUAGCAGAAAGGAGAACAAAGCCGCUUCCUGUGAGACACAUGAGCAGGCCAAUCUUAAUAAUUAUAGUAACAGUUAAACUUUAAAAUCAGGAUAUGCAUUUGUUGAGGUUCCUCUGACAGUGCAAGUCUCCCCCCUGUCCCCCCCCCAACUUCUUUGCACAGAUUUCCCCAGGCAAUGCAGUCCUUCCCUUCCUUUAUUUAUGUGGGUUCAUAUUUCAUGGCUUUUGUUUACAGUAUUCCCAUCAUGAUUUAUGACUGAAGAGAAAUGCUGUCCAGGUGAUGAUCCAGUCCAUUAUCUCGACGGAGGUGCUGACCACUGUAGGGAAGCACAGAGAGCUGAUGUACAACAUGAUGGAGAACAAGCAGAAGAAAGGGGGCUUCCAGGUUACAACUGAAAAAAGCAUAAUUCAUAUGAUUUGCAAUAAUUGGAUGCAAAAGAAAAAAAAAGAAAAACAGAAAACUUUAUCCUAUUGCUCCUCCCCCGAGCUGCCGGAGCUCAGGGAGCGUUGGGAUACCACUCUUAGAUGUAGGGUGUGGGUUUGGGUGUUCCUAUGUGGAGCUGAGGGUUGGGCUUGGUGAUCCUUGUGGGUCCCUUUCAACUCGGGAUAUUCUACAAUUCUGUAAAGAUUACCCAUGUUAAAUACAUGUUUCAGAGGGUAAAGCUCCCCUGUCUCAAUACCACCCUCGGUUGGUCUAGAAUGCUCUAUUUUUUCCUUCCAGUUUUGUGUUUUACUAUUCAUAAAUCAAGAUUUCUUUGCCCUGCUCGGCACCUUCCCAGCCUUUGCAGAUCAUUAAUACCAAAACAGGGCUGUUAAUCUCUCGGUCCCAAGGUGCAUUACCCCACUUGUAGAAAGAGGGACUGGGACACAGAUGGGCCUGUGCCCAGAGCCACUGAGCAUGGGGAUGUACCCCAGGGCCACGUUCACUCCCAGAACAGUUCCCCAUGGGGUGCCUGGUGGUCCUGCACUGAUAGCAUCCAUCAUGUUUUGGAGAGGUUUGGGGGGUGGACCACGGGAUAAAGCUGGGCACAGGGUUUUCUGUCUGCAGUGAGCUCUGUGCUCUACAGCAGUUUUGCUGCCUGUUCAGCAGUACGUUUGCAAUAGCAUAUGUCCUUCCCUGAUUGUACUGAACCCUCAUUCCCAUUGCUUGUACUUCUCAUCCUAUUCAACCCUUUCAACUCCAGCAGUAUGUAAAAGAGGCUAGCUUUAUUUUUCAGGUCUCUUCCUAUCAGAGAAGGUCAGGGACAAAGCUUGGCAAUGAAAGGCAAUUUCUCCAAACCAGUGGGCAAGCAGUGUGGUAAGAAUGCUUUUAAACAACAACAACAAAAAAAUCCAAUAACUUCCCUAUAAAUUGUCCAAGAGAGAAAACUUUGUGUUUUUGGCAUUUGUAGCUGUUUCAGCAUUUUUCUGUGUAAGAUGAAAAACUUUUGCAUUGAGCAAAACACAGAUUUAUGAUCAAUAAAGUGAAGCUUUAACAGUUUAUAGGAGCCAUACAUUCUUUUUUUUUUUUUUUAAACUGAUAUUAAAAACUAUCUUUUCCUCUCAGCCAUGUUAGAAAUCCACCCCAGUGUCAGUCAGGGUUUCAGCACAGCAAACUUUGCAGAGAAAUUGCUGGCUGGGGUUUACUGCAGGACCAGUGGCCACACAAGCCACCCCUCCCUCUCCCUCAUGGGCUUGUGAAAUAAAGCUCCAGUAAGACCUGAGUAUGGAAUUUAAGGUGUGAGCCUGGACUUGCCCAGUGUUUAGAAGCUUUGGGAGCUGGAGGCUGCUGCAGGUCGUUCUCUGGACCAUACAGAUAAUAACUGUCCAACAGUGCUCUGCAGUUCUUACUGUAGCAGGAGCUACAGGCUGAGAGCAAGCAGCUGCCAGAAAAACCUCUGAUUUGCACAAGUGACUUUGGAAUGGCUGGUGGAUAUAUGAACCUUUAUUGGCACAACCUUGGUUGGGCUGUGAGCAGCCAGGGAGUCCCAGGGUAAUUUUAUCUCUCUCAAUUCUGAUGUGCAGGGGCACUGUGCGGUCAAAUCUUCUAGUUCUGGUGUUGCCCCCCUUACCUUUGCCUCAUGCCUGGUAGUUGUCUCUGAAGACACUGAUUUCUACACCGACAAGUGUGCCAGUGAUACUAAACAUGCUCAAAACAGAAACAACUCUUUUGUUCCAAACAGGCCACUGCACUGAUUGUUUUAUAACUCCUAUAAGAAAAUCAUGUCAACAGAUCAUCUGAUAAAAGUUAUUUGGCCUUAGAUUUUCUACUAGCUUAGACCUAAAAUGUGAUUUGAGUAUGAAAUUACUGAGUAUAGGACUGUUUUCACUGCCAUUAAGACCAACGAGAAAUCUCCCUUGAUUAGAUUUAUUAUAAGCCAGGGAGCUGAGGAGAGCUUGUAACUCUUCUUUUGUAAUCCCACGGCCCUGGUUAUGCAGUCUCUGGGCUUUCUGCACAUUACAGCACAUGGAACUGCCUGAAUUGUUCUUAUCUCUUCAGCAUGUUCUUCUUUGUUAAGGCCUAUCUCAAUGCAAGAUCUACAGUAAAAAAUAGGAAAGUGUCCAUUACAAGGCAGGGAUUUGGCUUUUUCUCUCCAGAGCACGUGAUGAAGGCAAUAAAUUUGUCAAGGAGAUAAGCUGGACUCAACCCACCGAGAUCAGUGCCAGUCGGGUCCCCUUCAUCCCAUGAUGUGCCAGGAAAUUUAUUACCCGCUGUGAGAUUUAACUGCACAAAUCCCUGGUGAAUUGAUAGGAGAGGAGAACCUUGCUGAGGUUUAUAGGGGGGGUCUUAAACCCUUAAAUGUUGGUGGCAGUGGCAUCCCCAUAAAGCCCUGCCAGCGGUAAUUUACAGACGAGGAGAUCGACUGUGUUUCCUCUGUGGAAAAAGGGGUUGAAAUAACUGGGGCUCUCCAAGCUGAGUCGCAGCGCUGGAGAAGGUCCACAGGGUGCCGCAGCUUCUGCAGAGCAUGCAGCUUCCACUUGAUUAAAUAAACCUGGGUCUCAGUAGAUCUGAAAAGUGGUUUUCAGAGAGUUCUGGCUAAGAGCUUGCAAGUUUUUCCAUUUCUUUUGAAGAGAAAUUUGCACUCAGAAAAUGAAAGAAUCUACAAAGUGAUAUUUUCUGAAGCAAACACUGACAUUAUGAGCAACUUAAGCACUUUCAUUGCAUCUCUGCACUAAACUGCGGCUCCCGACCGACAAAACCGUCUCUUGCUAAAAGCAACUGUUAUAAAAUUAUGACUAGCGCAUAUAUAACGUUUGUGUUUAACAAGAUGACAGAAAUGCCACCUUAGUAAAAACUGAUUAUGGUUACAGCUGAACAAUUCACAUCAUGCAAGAUUUAUAAUAUUAAGGUUAUGCAAUCAUCUAAUCGGAGAGACAAGCCUUGAGUAAUAAUAUGAAAUGCAUGUACUUCAAUCUGCAGCAGUAGAUUCAUUGCUGGUUUCUUAUUAGCUCAUGCUAGCAUUAGGGCUGCAUUAUCCAUUUUGCCAUAGUCUAAUUCAGCAUUUCCAUCUGAAAACAUAUGCACAAUAAGUGAUCUAUGCCAAACAAUGAAAUGGAAGCAAAGUCAUUUGAGUGACUUUGUGGCUAUAAAAAUAUACAUAAUCUGUAUGUCUUUUGGCAGUUCUCAAUACUUUGUGCUACAUUUAUUUGCAUGGAAAGUUUUCCCAAAAUAAAUAAAAACAGAUAGAAAUUGCCCUCUUUUCUCUUGAGCAUAACGUUUUGGGGCUGGAACAGUGCAAGAAUGCAUCUCACCCGCUUCUCAUCCGGCAGGUAUGAGUCAGGUGUUCUUAUUAGAUGAUGAUUAGUGUUAUACAAGCUAUCUAGAAGUCACAGUUGUAACUUAAGAUGGCAUAGAGUGACUUAAAGUGUGCAUCUUUCAAUAUUGCUGAUUUUUAAAAUCAAAGAGAAUUUCAGUAUAUGUAUGUCAAGAAACAUCUCGGUUAAUUAUUGUACAGAGAAGUCAUAGUGUAACUUCUGGUUAAAAAUAUGUGAUUUCAGGGGCUGAGAAGUUCAAGCAUUGCUUUUCAAAGGCACAUGUUACAAAAGAUGACAAGUGUUUAUAAUGUAAUGAUCAAACUAAUUGACCGAGAGUCAGAUUAAAACAAGACUUUUCAUGCAAAGUGCAGACUGAACUUUCCCCUUAACUGCUCACAGUGGGCUGAGUCCAUUUUCUGCAGCCUGUGCAGGCUUAGGUCCUGCAAGACACGGGUGCCUUGGGGCAUCAUGCGGCACUGGGAGGACUAAGGACCUUGCAGGACUGAAACCUGCAAGUAACAAGCUGUUUGGGUGCUGCUGUGUGGGUGGAUACAUCAGGCUUUUGCAACAAUCACAAUUCUCAGGGAAAGAAAAAAAAAAGUGCUUCAAAGGUAAACAGAAGGCAUUUGUGUCCUGGAGUCUGAUUUAUUAUGGGAACUAUACAUAGCUGUCAUUAAAUGAACAGGCUAACAUGCAACUAUUCAUCACGGUGGGAAAUAUACAGGCCAUUCUCUGCUUGCCUGGAAUCAUUCAUAUUUUUGAAAACUAAAAACAGAGUCCAGGAGAGGAAUGAAUGCAUAAAAUGCCAUGAGAUAUUUGAUUUAUUCUUUUCAGGCAUUACCUCUCUAUGUUCUCUGUGCCCAAGAGUAUUAUUCAAAUCAAUCGAUCUCAGAAACUGUUUCUAGCAAUCUCCUGCUUCCCCCAAAACUCCCUGCUCAAGACCUUUAUCUUCCUCCUUCUGUUGUUAUUGUCAUUACAAUAGACUCAAACGGGUCUGUAAUUUUUGUUUGACUUUGAAGCCGCAUUUUGAUCCAAAGAUAUCUAUUCAUCUUCACAUUUGUAAUACCAGCAUUCCACCUACCAGCCUGCACGAGGCAAGCUGCAAUAUCCUUCAGAGCUCAGCUAAAACAAUUCUCAGCUUGCUGCUUAGCUACAGGCAGAACAGCAAACAGCAGCAAUGCUGCCUGCUCCAAACAGCUCUCUGGGUGCUGAUUCACAGGUGACUAUCAACAUUGAUAUAUACAUAUUUUUUCCUUAGUAACUACUAAUUGCUGAAGAAAUUCAGGUUUAUUUUUAAUGAAUGAGUAAAAAGAAUUUGAAACUACUUGUGGCUACAAAGAGGCAUAAUUGUCACAAACUAGAAAAAAUUACUAAUACAGCCUAAACAUUGCAAUCAGAAUGGCUGCUUCAACACAUAAUUAAACUUUAGUUAAAUCACAUCUUUCAUAGCAAGGCACCUUUACCACAGACAAGUGCCCUUUCCCACCUAAAUAUGGAAUUGCUUUCAGCUGAAAUUGAAGAAAAUUCUUUUGAUUUCUGGUGAAAAGAAAUAACCCAAGAAGGGCCAUGAAUGCCUCCUGAGCACAGAACAAACCUUUGGCUAGGAAGCAAACAGAAAUCUCCCCCACAGAAGGGCUGAAGGAGCAGGGUUGUGUGACCCUAAUGACACACAGGUGCUUCUCAUCACACCUGCUGGGCGGCCUGUUCCAAACCAACUGCCCUCUGGGGCAGAACCUUUCCCUAACCCCCCUGAGCCUUCUGGAUACAGCUCCAUGCUGUUCCCUCAGGACCUCUUGCUGUCCCCAGAGAGCAGAGCUCAGAGCCCUUUUGCCCUUCUGCUCUCUGUGAGGAGCUGCAGGUCACCAUGGUGGAGCUGCAGGCCUCCAUGAUAGAGCUGCAGGCCGCCAUGAGGCCUCCCCUCAGCCUCCCCUGCUCUGGGCCUAACAAACCCAGCACCCUCUGCUGCCUCUCACGUUGCUCAUCCCCUGCAGAAGUUUGUGGUGGAACAGACUUGGCCACCUGUGGCUCUGUGGGCAGACUUAGGGCCUUUCCUGAUGCUUCACAGACACUUUACAAUGUACAUAAAUACACAACAAAACUGUGAGCCAGUUAGUGCUGAAUGUGUACCAAGUAAUCACAAUCACAAGUAAUCUGUUUUCAUAAACAGAGCUGGUAGGUUUUAAAAAAUACUACCAUGUCUGUGACCUUUUCUUAAUUUUGUUAGGUGCUAUUUGAAAUUCUGGUCUUUCUAUUUAUGUUUGGAGUUUAAUUAGAACCAGUCACUUUCCUGCAGCUACCUGCUUGUAGGCAUGCCUGGGUUUAUACUUAAUUGUGGUGCUUUUGCACAGUUUCUCUUUUUUUCCUCAGGAACUGCUGCACAGAACUUCUUUCACAUGUGCAGACUAAUGAUGACAGCCUGCAUGUGCAUGAAUAGCAUGCUCUGGUAACAAAUCAGGAACAUGGAGAGGGAUUUUAAACUGCUUGGGGGUGGUAACAUAGCUGUUUUCAGUUUAAGAUCUGUUUUCCUCUUCUUCCGCAGCCAUCACUUCAUUUCAUGAGAGGAGGUGCCAUGGAAAGCUCUCGACUCACUGUACAAAGAGAAUUAUCCCCUCUGAGCUCCCUUUUUAAUUCUUUCAAUGUAGACAAAGCAGAAAAGACCUGACAGAAGCGGUAUGAACAAUAAGCUGUGUUUUCCAGAAUGGAUGGUGACAAGCAGGAAGUUUUAAGCUGGGGUGAGAGCUAGGGGCAGAGAGAAGGCAGUUAUAGAAAGUUGCUGAACAGAAGUUGUUGUAUGGAGUCUUUAAGAGGUGAGAGAAAGAAAUGGAGAAGUAAAUACUGGUUCCUGAGAUGGUGGGUCCAGUGGUUGGGGAUACCAAGGAACUGAAUGGCAGUCUAGCAGAGUUGCAUCCAUGUUUUCCGUAUUUGAGGGAGGCAUUUGAUGUGCAGGAAAAUGUUUAAGUGAAAAUGUAGGAUACUUUUGAUUCAAGUGUUCACUGAACUCUGUGGAACAUGCAAUUAGACUGAUGCUCUGAAAAUUGACUAAGUAUCCUGCUUGCUUUCCCACUUUCUUCGCUAACAGUAGAGUUCCAGGUGACAGUGCUUUUUGUGGCAAAAGUAUCUUAAAUUCUCACUGUCUGCUUGUUCCCUGCUCUUAGAUUGCCUCUCAUUUCAUCUGACAAGGCUAAAUAUAACUCCCCUCCACCCAUAAAAAGCAAGAGGCAGAGGUUUGCAAGAUUUGCCAAAGGGGCAAAACUUCAGGAUCUGGCUCCUCCACCAGAGGCAGCACGGCUCUAACCUGCAGUCUCUUCACUUCAUCCCAGUGCCAGACUUCCCAAAUGCACCUGAGUUGCCUUUGGAGUUGGUCUGCUGUUCAUUGCCUGUAACACUGCCCUUCCUUUGAAUUUACAAGGCAGGGGAGAACAUGGAGCCAAGUUCAGGAGCUGGUGAUUUCAUUUACGUAUCAGAGGCCAAAAGAAGCAAAUAAAAACUGCCACACAAAAUGAACAGGAGUUGAGACUGGCUAAACACCUUCCUGCAAAAUGGAUUUUAAAAGUGACUCUUGAACUCUUCAGUGGAAAGACAGAUUCAUUUUCAAUGGAGUUUGAUCUUGCUCUUCAGCUUCAUUUGUAAGACCAAUUACAGAGCAUUUUCUACAACAAUUACAGGCAUUAAAACCACUCUGUUCCAUUUGAUGAAUUUUAAUAGUAAUUGAACAGAAGAACCCAUCAACUGAGAGAUUGUCCAAUCAAGUAUGCCCACACAUUGAACUGUAAUUUCUAUUCCACAAAUGUGUAAUGCCAUUUGAAACUACCAAAAUGUCCUCUCCUCACCAAUAACCGAGCAGAUUCUCAAGGAUUUGUUCCUAAACAACUUUAUUCCUUGAGGUUUUAAGUACACAGAAAGCAUGUUGACCAUGCUUCUCCGGUGUACAUGCUUCUACCUGUGUACAGCUCCCCUGCAGAGCUCCUUCGAGCUCAUUUUUGGACAGGGCAUUUGUAGAGUUCUGGCGACCACAAACAUUGACCAGGCGGAAUCAUCUAGCACCUUUUGAUCCUCCUUGUGCAGAAAGGCAGUUUUGGAGGAUUCCCUUCAAGGAACUUCAUAAGUCACAGUAGGAGCAGGUUGGAUUUUUAAUGUUAUUGUAGAAAACAGAGUCCAUCGCUUGAACUCUGGCUUUGGAAUUUGCAAUUGGAUUCAGUUCAGUGUUUUCUCUUAUCAAGAAACAGUGUGCAGAAUGGUGGAAGGAAGAAACACAGGCCUGAAAUAGAUUAUUUGGUAAUGAAGAUAAGCCCCUCAUAGCUACAGAAAAAUAGAUGUUUGGUCCAGGAUUGUCCAGAUAUUUGCCUUCCACGUGGUCUCCACAGGCCAUGAGCCCUAAAGAGACUAUGAUUUGUGUUGUGAGUCCAAAAGCCACAAAUGCAACGCAGUAUGGCAGAGCUAAGAAGAGAUCAAAGACUCACCAAUGCCCUGGGACUCUGAAGGAUGCUAAUGUAUUUCUUAAUCUCUAUGCAUGAAUGUUUUGUUGUUAUUUUUUUCCUACUAGACUUGCUCUUUGUUAUUGAGGUUGGCCUUUGUGGUACAGAAAAUUCCUUGAGGGAAGUUGCUUCAUUGGAUUUGCUAGAAAACAGUAGAACAAAAGAACUAUUUUGAUGAACUUCUCUCAACGUGAUUUCCAAGCUAGCUUGGGAAACAAAACGAGAUUACUACAGUUUAGAUCAGUGGGAGAGAAAUGUCCAACUGUCAGAGCGUUCCUUUGAAGUGGGUUUCCCCUUGCCAGUGGUCGCUACAAAUUUAAGUUCAAUUUAAAGACCAAAGAUGAAGUCUUGGCUUUACUGAAGUCAAUAAGAGUUUUGUCACUGACAACUUGGAGGCCAGGAUUUCAUCUGAGUUGUUUGUACAGGCACUAACUUUAGCAUCUGCUGAGAGCUACAUGAAAUAUUUAUGCUGAAGAGCGAAACUGUAGUGUUAUCUUGCAGCUCCUUCUCAGCACAAAAAUGACACUGGAUCAGUGAAAAAUCACCAGACUUCUCUGUAAAAUGCAUAGUCUCAGUUGAGAAAUACCUCAUACAAGUGUGAGUAAAUUAUGAGCUAUAAUGUGUGAUAUAAAAGUAAUUACUGUAAAUGCUCUUCCUGGGAUAUGUAUAAUUUUUUCCUUUUUGUUUUGGCUUAGAACAGUGAAAAAAAGGAACAGCAGAGGUUUUCCCACAAAUUUAAAGUUCUAGCUCCUCUCCAACUAAAAUCUUGAACCAGAGUUCCUCCUAUUUAAAAAUGUCUGCAAAUCUUUGCCUUCAAAAGUUUAACAGUGCAGCUUCUAGUGAAGAUCAUAGAAUCAUAGAAUCUAUUGAAGGUUAUGUAUUUCUGUACAUAUGCCAAAUAUAACUGCUAGAGCUCUUAUAGGCAAACAGACACAACAUCUUAGAGCACAAAAAGCACCAUUUGCAGAGGAAAGAAAGAUUUCUUUUCUCCAAGGAAAUGGCAUAGUUAAUGUUAAUGCAACAUCUCUGCAUACCUGGCAUCUUUAUGGACUGGCACAAUCAUGCAUAGCUCUGUGAGGGUCUGGCUCCCACUGUGCUAGGCAAGUGAUAGUUUUUUCCCAUGGUGAAGGAAGAAACUUAAAGCAUCAUGGAGCUAUGUGUUACCUGUCUGCAGCCCUGAGAGCAGGGAAUACCUUGGGAAAGCUCUCCGGAGAAGCGAGCCUCAAAAGUGUCUUCCAACACACUCAAUAUUGUGAAAUGCAGACAGGAAAGGUCUUGACUCAAGCUUCUGGGAUGUGGACAAACACAAAUCUAGCAUAAAUCCUUUUUUAUUUUUUAUUUUUUUCCCCAGGUUGCUGAGGCUUCUUUACAAUGUCUUUUGCUCCCAGAUUCAGACAAGGUCCAAACAGGUGAGAGCCAGGAGAAGUGAAUGGUGGCAGGGGCUGGAGACAGAGCAAUGGGGAGAUACUUGGAAGGAUUUGUGUUCAAGGAAAGCAUGCAAAUAACAGGCCAGAGAAAUUUCUUUUCUCUCUUCUUCUCCUCCCCCUUUCAAAUAUCUUCUCUUAUUUGUUUAAUUUUGUGCAUUUUAGCGUUUCAGUCACAGGCUGCUAGUGUGUUUUUUUUUCCACCCUUUACACACCAUCACAUACUGCCGGCCUUUUUUUGACCACAGUCUAUGUUGUAAUAAUAAUAAUAAAAAAAAAACUGGGCCUGAUUUUAAUUUGUGUAAUGUUUUUGUUAAAAAAAUAAAAACUCAACAGCCUAAUUAGGAAAACCGUUAAAUGGCUGCAAUUCAAAUAUAAUUCUAUUAAAUUCUCCCUGUAAAGUUAAUGUUACAGACUUUUUAACAGAUGUUUUAAUUAGACAUUGUUAUUAAAGGGAAUACUGUAGAAAUUAAAAGCAGGUCCUAAAUGUGUUAACAAAGACACUUUUCUUGUGUGGUGCCGAUGGUGGCAGAAACCUUAGCAAAGAGAUUUUGGCAGCAGGUCAUGAAAAGAAAAAGAAGAAAUGCGUUAAAGGGAACAAAAUGCGCUAGGAGAUAUGCAUUGCUCAGCUACUAUGUGAUGGGGGCUCAUUUCACAGCCAGCACCACCUCAGGCCAUUGCCUGAGCUGGAAAGAAGGUAGGGAAGAUGCUUGAGCACAGUGCUGAUAUUACCCACACAGGCACCGAUUUGUCAGAGGGAUUUGGCUACGAGACACUUGCAGCUUGGAGAAUUCCAUAGGAAGCGUCAGCAUUACCAGUAGUUGAGGUUUCAUCUGCUGCCUCCAUGUUUUGGUUUGUUUUCUAACUGUGGAUCCUAGAAUCAAGCAACAACUUACGGAGUGUGUUUUUUGCAGGAUGGACUUCCUCUAAGCCCUUCCCACUGCAGGGAAACACGUAUGCUGCAGGCUUGGAAAUGAGAGCAAGCAAUAAAACAAACAAAGCCCAGGUUUGUAUAUGUGGGAAGGAAUGCAUCAGCAAGCCACUCAAUAUUCUGGGCCUUGAACAGACAUUUUCUGAGUAUAGAACACUAGAACCAAACUGUGGGUUAAAAAGGUGACAGUUGUCGGCUUCACACCACAUCAUUUUCUGGCAGGGGCUGUGGUGUGUGCUGUAGCCAUCAAGAGUGCUCCACUGCUUCAUUUUGUGCUUAACUACUGCAGGUCUGCUGCAAGGUGAUGCCAUUUUGUGGGACUGCUACAUAACCUGGCAGUGAAGUCUCCAGGGGUGCAAUUGUGUGCUGAUGGGGACUCUUCCAGAGGGUGAUUCAGAGCAGAAAUCAGUGGACACGAUGGAGGAAAUCUGGACAGUUGGAUGCCCUGUGUUGGAUGCUUUGUCAUUAGUCUAAAGACAGGUUCUCUUUCAGGCUCCAUUUUAUCUCAAUAUACAGUGGAAAAUUAUACAUCUCACAGUUCAUUUUCUUGCAGCUUUCUGCCACCUGUCACCUGUGAAAUGGUUAGAUGGUUAAACGUGGGCUCUUCUGAGCAGUUUGAUGCAUAAUGUAAGGAGAAAGUGAUAGGUAGCAUCGAUGCACAAGCAUAUAAGAUCAUCAAGGGGUUUUGAUGAUGUCAUAAACCGUAAAGGCAGAGAUUGGCUAUGAUAUCAUCACCAGGCCAAUGUGGUUCUUUGGGGUUUUUAGAAGAAGAAAUUUAUUAGAUGAAUAGGUGCAUCUGAUGUUUUAAGGGCAUUUUUUACCCCCAGUCCCUCUUCUUGUUUCUGAUAGAUGAUGCUGCCGUUGCAUCUAUGAGUUAGAAAAUGAUAGCUGCUCUUAUCAGCAAUGGAUGUGUUCUUUGGAACACAUGUUAUAUGUGGAAUGGAAAGUUGCUAAAGUAUUGUGAGAUUGGCUAAGAAGAGAGAAAAGCACCAGAGGAGGGAUCUCUGAGAAUUGCAGAACAUGUUCAUGCUGAUCUGUUAAUUAGCAUUAAACAACAGUGUAGGAAUGCAGACAGGUAGACAAGGUAGCAAAACUGCAUGAGAUGGAAUAAACAACUCAAAGAGAUCUAAACCCUCUGAUUUCUGCUCUCUGUGACAGGAACAACUCCUUCCUACAACACUGAGAGAAAAUCUGAUAAUCACAGAUAUUCAGCUCUGAAUAUUUUAUCCCUGUCAUUGAAGUCUCUGUUAUUGCCCACUCUGGGAAGAAAGAUACUCAUCUAGAGAAAAAAGAUCCCUAGAAAAUCAUGUUAAAGUGAUGUUAUCACUGGUAUUAGCUAAAAGUGUCAACUCUUGUUCCUCCCUCCAUCCAUAGACUUCAUUUUUUCAGCCACGGUUACCUUUCUGUGGACUGGAGGAAGGCCAGCCCCACAGCAGGACUUCUCAGAGCUCAGAGGUGUCUCAAUGAAAUGAGUGAUGUCUGCCCAUGUACCCCACAAGCAUCUCUGCCAGAUAGUUUUUUUGUUUUGUUUUGUUUUGUUUUUCCUAAACUCUCACUCUCAUCUGUUCUCAAGAUUUGUUUACCCUUUAUUUUUCUUUGUUAUCCCUCCCCUUUAGAGGCUUUUAGCUUAAAAACAGUGUGAAAACCAAAUUAAUGCAAGUAUUCUAAUUUUUGUGACUACCAGAAUCAAGCAAACUGGAAAAUGUGCUGUCUUGAGGGUAAAAGAGAGGUGCAAAAACUCUCUAACAGAGACAACUGGUUAAUUAGCAGAUGUGAAACCAACGUAAAAAAACCAGAACCUAGAAAACAAAUGAAAAUCUCUAUAGCAAUUAUUUCCAGAAAGGUAACAUUUUCCCAAUUAAAGCCAUUCUGAGAACUUUAGCUAAUUAUGUAGGUAUUCUCUCUCUCUUUCCCUUUCUUUCUCUCUCUCGCUUUUAUUAAAGUCCAUCAGGGCUCAUGAUGUGUGGGAAAAGUGCUAACAUUUGCAAAUUGCUGGUUUAUGAUAAAUGAAUUGUGGAAACUCAGCCCCUUGGUUGGGGCCCAGCUAGAUUGCAAAGCACCAGCAUCUCCGGCUGCUGCAGCCCUGACCCUGCCUUUACACCCAUUGAUCACAACUGGUGCAUAGCCAUGACCACCAAAUGCAUACAUUGUAGCUGGGGGACUUGCUUUUCCCAUAGUAUUUCAUCAUCGUUCCACAUCGCAAGCACCAUAGUAACCUUUGGCAUGCCGUCCUGUAAGACUAAUACCUGCAGGAGAUUUCCUCCUGCCCCAAUAAUCACUGCUUCAACUGCUCCAUCUUUAAAAAACCCUUAGUCAUUAACCCAGCUUUGAUUUUCAAAAAAUUCCCGUUUAUUUCAAUAGCGCCAGGAGGGGAAGUAAGGGGUGAGCACGUUGGAAAAGCAAAAUCCCUAAAGAGAGAAAAGUACGCUGAAGGAUACCAUGGAGUGACACGUAGGGUGUGCUCUCACCAUUGCUCUUCAUGAUUGCUGAAUGCUUGGAGUGCAGGAGCACGUACAAGGCCAACAACCCAAAGUAAAACCAUAGUCAAGACUGCACAAGUAUAUAAGGGCCAGGCUCUGCCCCACAUGGGAGAAAAAUCACACAGGUGAGACAUGCAAAGUUAGCCUGGGAAGGAGGACACAGCACCACGCAGCGCUGCAUUGUGAGCUUUGCAUUGGCUUUGGGGACUAUUUAUGGUUUCAGGGAAGACAUAACCGAGAGGAACGCAGCUCUUAGCAGCUGCACGUCAGCUGAGAUUCCUGCACAGGGAAAUUGUUUCCAUUCACACUUUGGAGUCUGUGGCCAGGUCCUGAUCCUGAUUUAAUGAAAACAAUGCCUGAAAGUCAAACGCAUUUUUCUGACAGGCACAUGGAGGUGCUAUUUUAUCUACAGGGUCUGACAGAUGAUGCUGAGCAUAUGUAAAAAAGUGCACGUGUGUGCUUGUACACACGCACACAUUUGAAGCCCUCAAAUUAGCAUUGGAUGUGAAAUCCACCAUCCAUGAAAGAGUCAGGGUAAGAGAUUCUAGUGUCCCAAAGAGGCACAGAAUAAUGAAGUUAUGGAGAGCUGGGAAAUGUUGGUAUUACUUUAUUAGAGUGUAUUGAAGAAAACUGGUGAGCUAGUGCUCUAAAGGUUGUAUUCAAUAAAAAAUGAUUCCUCUGGUUUCCAUGCAAAGCCACUGAAGUACCAAAAAAUCAAUUGUAGUCAUUGAAUUGGGCCAUAAGAUGGAGCAAAAUGGCCCUGGGAUGGAGCAAAAUUCACAACAGUGCCAGAAGAUGUACAGUCUGUGGCCAGGGAACGCUUCCCCAUUUCACUUCUGGUUUUGACCCACAUGAGCGCAGGACUGAUGCAGCAACCCUCCGCUGCCCCCAGCAUUGCCCACUGGCCCCCCAGCCAGAUGGGAAAAGCCUUCUGCUUUCUUCUCUGUGCUAGAACUCUCUCAAAAUGGACGAAUUUGGUGCAAAACCUGCAAUGUGCAUGCAAUGGGCUACUUUUAGUUCAGUUCGGGGAGGUCAUUUACCAAUGAAAUGGAGAAAUGGAGGUGGGGAGCCGGACGCAUCUGCAGAGACUGUGCCUGAACACGUUGCAUGUGAAUAACGUGAGCUGGGUUGAAAUUGGUUUUGAAAUCAGAGUUGAUCAGAAAAGUGAAAAGUAUCUGAGGAGAGAAAUGUUGGAAAAUUCCUGCCAGAAUUGGUUGGCAUUUUCCAGGAGCUCUGUUGUGAAUUCAGUGUCUGUGUCGGUUCUCUCUUGUCUUUAUUGGUGCUCUGAAGCACAGGGUCUGAAGCAAAAGUUAUUGAAUUUUCACUAAACCCUCCCUACAAGCAAAGGCUUUUUCUGCUUUAAUGUUCAAAAAAGUCCAAGUCGCAGCCACCACCUCUAGCAUGUGCCCAUAUCUUUUCUCAUUAUAGGCUGAGGUCCAAAACCAAUACGAAUUAAAUAAAUAUCCCACUGAGAGCUGCACUUUUGAAAACUGCCUUAUUGCAGUGCAGAUGUGCGCUAUCUAAAAUGAGCUUAAACGUUUUAUUUAUAUAUAUAUAUAUAUAUUUAAAUUAAGAAAAUAAAAUAAAACCUAAAUAUUAUCCUGGAAGGAAGUGUUUGCAUUGGUGGAUGUUUGAUUUUCAUUUUUCUCCCAGCAUGCUCGAUCCUUUCAUCCUGUAAUGGUUCUUCUCUAUUAAUCCUUCUCAAAACCCACAGGUAGAGAUGCUUAUUGAUAGAAGGCCAACGUGUAUCUCAGUUUACAAAGGCAUAUUAAAGGAUACAAGUAACAUAUUUCUCUUGAUGUCUUCUUAUUAAUGCAAUUCCACUCAGAACAUUUUGGCAUAAGAGGCAUUGCCAGAUGGAAGAUAAAACUUCACUUUUAUGAGUAUUUUAAGGAAGAAAACAUUUGGUUUGCAUCAGUUCUAAAUGAAUAAUAUUUAUUGCCCUAAUGAUUUGUAUUUUAUAACCCGGAUAACAAAAAGCACUGUCAAUUACUUAGUAUUUUAACAAGGAUUAAAAAAAGGUCUGAUAACAUCAAGUCAGUUUAAAUGAUCAAGUGCUUUUAAUGCUAAACUCUAAUAACCCAAAGCAUGGGCUGUUUACAUAAUAAAAAUAAAUAAACACUGACCACAGCUUGGCUGUAUUUAAGGAUUCUGUCAUUUGUUACUACAAGUCGCAGCUCACAGCAUGCUUUGGGGAGCUCAGUGUGUUACAAUUACAAACACAUCAAACGGGCUCAUUGGGCCCCUGCACACAUCAUGGUGUGCAGAGAUGGGGAGUUGUGGGGCUGCUCCUGGGUGAGUGUGGGGAGCAGAGGGCUGCGUUCUCUACCUCUGAUUUUCCCUGGACAUCAGCAGGUCUUCUGUGCUUACAAAAGAUAAUCUUCCUCUGAUCUUUACCCAUCAAUAGUUUGAUUAUAUUUAUCUCUCUCCUUUACUGUAGAUAAUAAAAUUCCAUGUUUUUCUUCUUAAUUUGCAUGUGUAACUCCUGCUGCUGAAUAUUUUUUAUUUGAUGCCAUUACAGGAAUUAAAUUCCAAAUCAAAUCAGCACAUGGAAGGACCACUCUCAUUUCACUGAGCUCAUUCCAGCAGAAGGGGGAUGAGGAGGCUCUAACGCUUGCAAUAUCGUCCAUGUAAGCACUAAAAAUCAUACUGCUGCACCUCAGAUAAGAUUUCAGAGGUGUAGCUGGUUCUGCUGGGAGCUGUCUCUGUCUGUCCAAGUACAUGGGCACUUGGUUUCUCUUUUAGAUGACCUUUUUUAUCCCGUUCCCUUCUGAUCAAGCACCAAGGGCUAUGUGAUGUUUCCCAUUUUGGAGGCUGGAGGGAAAGCAAAAGGAGCCCUUGAACACUGACUGUGUUAAGGUUCUGUUGAAAUAACAUCAGAUUUACUCUGACAUGUUCCAUGGGACUUAAUAUUGAUUUUCAAAUAAUCUGGAACGCUGUUUUUAUAAACAAUUAUUGGCAAGGGGAGGCGUUGUUUUUGGAAGCUCUUGUAUGUACAGUAAGGCUUUAUUUCUUCUUGUUUUGAAGUGCGGCACGUCUUUUAAAAACGCUGUUCAGGAAACAUCUGCUGUCAAUUAAGGAGUAACACAUUAAGGCAUAUUAAAGUGCACUCUUAUUAGUGUUUCGGCAAUAAAAAGAAAGGUUUUCUAUUUGAAUCAUAUGUUCUUUAACACAUCUGCCAGCCAUCUGAAACUUGCAAACAUUUCUCAAUAAAAACAUCUUCAUAACCUUGUAAAAACUUAGUAAUGCAUGGCACUCUGUUUUCUGUAUAUAUAUAUGCCUGUAUAUCCCUUUAUACACUGAGUUCAGGUAAUUCUCAAACAGGUUAUUGGGCUGAUGCUGAUAGUUUUUGAUAAGGACAGUGACUGCGGGCACUCUGCUCAGUCAGUCCCAUUGAACCCUUAAAGGAGAGCUGAUUAGAAAAGCAAAGCUUUGCCUUUUAGUUUUUAUGAGAACAGAAGAAUCAGUCUUUUCAGCAAAAAAAAUAAUAUUACAAAGCAUUUGAGUUGGAAAAAAAAAAAAGUAUUUGAUUUGAAAAGGGUCUGUUGUGUGUUAGAAAACUGUAGUUUUCUACGGCUUAAACUCUCCACUCUGUUGAGAGCACCUUUCCCAUGGCACACUGUGGUGUCUUGUUGUUUAGCCA